rnacentral:rRNA from 1 species
GACGAACGCUGGCGGCGUGCCUAAUACAUGCAAGUAGAACGCUGAAGGAGGAGCUUGCUUCUCUGGAUGAGUUGCGAACGGGUGAGUAGCGCGUAGGUAACCUGCCUGGUAGCGGGGGAUAACUAUUGGAAACGAUAGCUAAUACCGCAUAAUAGUAGAUGUCGCAUGACAUUUGCUUAAAAGGUGCAAUUGCAUCACUACCAGAUGGACCUGCGUUGUAUUAGCUAGUUGGUGAGGUAACGGCUCACCAAGGCAACGAUACAUAGCCGACCUGAGAGGGGGAUCGGCCACACUGGGACUGAGACACGGCCCAGACUCCUACGGGAGGCAGCAGUAGGGAAUCUUCGGCAAUGGACGGAAGUCUGACCGAGCAACGCCGCGUGAGUGAAGAAGGGUGUCGGAUCGUAAAGCUCUGUUGUAAGAGAAGAACGAGUGUGAGAGUGGAAAGUUCACACUGUGACGGUAUCUUACCAGAAAGGGACGGCUAACUACGUG